AUUGAACGCUGGCGGCAGGCCUAACACAUGCAAGUCGGACGGUAGCACAGAGGAGCUUGCUCUUCGGGUGACGAGUGGCGGACGGGUGAGUAAUGUCUGGGAAACUGCCCGAUGGAGGGGGAUAACUACUGGAAACGGUAGCUAAUACCGCAUAACGUCGCAAGACCAAAGUGGGGGACCUUCGGGCCUCACACCAUCGGAUGUGCCCAGAUGGGAUUAGCUGGUAGGCGGGGUAACGGCCCACCUAGGCGACGAUCCCUAGCUGGUCUGAGAGGAUGACCAGACACACUGGAACUGAGACACGGUCCAGACUCCUACGGGAGGCAGCAGUGGGGAAUAUUGCACAAUGGGCGCAAGCCUGAUGCAGCCAUGCCGCGUGUAUGAAGAAGGCCUUUGGGUUGUAAAGUACUUUCAGCGGGGAGGAAGGUGCUGAGGUUAAUAAGCUCAGCAAUUGACGUUACCCGCAGAAGAAGCACCGGCUAACUCCGUGCCAGCCGCCGCAGUAA
rnacentral:rRNA from 1 species